UCUUUAUUCAUGUUCAUAUGCUGCUUUAGGCCCAAAGAUUUCUCACUGUUUAUGGCAUCUCAUUGGAGGAGAAUUAAUGAAAAUUAUUUCCAGUCUGGAACUUCAGUGUUCACUAUAAAGCUAGGAAAUGCCAGAGUUAGUUCCUUGAGAUAUAAAAGAGUCAUAUUCUUUAUAAGAGAUGGAUUCUUUGCCACAUAUUCCUUCCAUUCUUCUUGAUCAAG
rnacentral:misc_RNA from 1 species